rnacentral:rRNA from 1 species
GAUGAACGCUGGCGGCGUGCCUAAUACAUGCAAGUCGAGCGAACGGACGAGAAGCUUGCUUUUCUGAUGUUAGCGGCGGACGGGUGAGUAACACGUGGAUAACCUACUUAUAAGACUGGGAUAACUUCGGGAAACCGGAGCUACUACCAGAUAAUAUUUUGAACCGCAUGGUUCAAAAGUGAAAGACGGUCUUGCUGUCACUUAUAGAUGGAUCCGCGCUGCAUUAGCUAGUUGGUAAGGUAACGGCUUACCAAGGCAACGAUGCAUAGCCGACCUGAGAGGGUGAUCGGCCACACUGGAACUGAGACACGGUCCAGACUCCUACGGGAGGCAGCAGUAGGGAAUCUUCCGCAAUGGGCGAAAGCCUGACGGAGCAACGCCGCGUGAGUGAUGAAGGUCUUCGGAUCGUAAAACUCUGUUAUUAGGGAAGAACAUAUGUGUAAGUAACUGUGCACAUCUUGACGGUACCUAAUCAGAAAGCCACGGCUAACUACGUG